UUCUCCCCUAUAUUUGCACGGGGUCGCACAAGUACAAGAUAUAUAAUACAAGAUACAACCACCAUAAUGAACAUACACAUAUUCUACACCAUUCACAUUCACAUCACAUCCAUAAUUUAUCCAUAAAUCCACAACUAUUAGUUUAAAAUGUUUCCUAUCCGGAAACUCGUUUUAAAAACACUAAGUCAUGAAAACCAAGAAAACCUUUUAAAAAUCGUUUCCGACACGGAAACCUUUUUCUUUUAAAACUCGCUACCACGAGGGGUAGAAAAUCAUUUUCAUUUCACAAAAAUCCACAAAUUCUUUAUUACAUUCACGAAAACUCAAAUAUUCAAUUUACAUAAAAAUACUGAACCAUAAAUGCAGUCUAAGUUGUUUAUUUAAAGAAACUGAGUUUAGAGUUAAACCAAAAGACGGGACGGUGGCUCUAUCGAUCG
rnacentral:lncRNA from 1 species